AGCGAACGCUGGCGGCAGGCCUAACACAUGCAAGUCGAACGAAGUCUUCGGACUUAGUGGCGGACGGGUGAGUAACACGUGGGAACGUGCCCUUUGGUACGGAAUAACUCAGGGAAACUUGAGCUAAUACCGUAUGUGCCCUUCGGGGGAAAGAUUUAUCGCCAUUGGAGCGGCCCGCGUCUGAUUAGCUAGUUGGUGAGGUAAAGGCUCACCAAGGCGACGAUCAGUAGCUGGUCUGAGAGGAUGAUCAGCCACAUUGGGACUGAGACACGGCCCAAACUCCUACGGGAGGCAGCAGUGGGGAAUCUUGCGCAAUGGGCGAAAGCCUGACGCAGCCAUGCCGCGUGAAUGAUGAAGGUCUUAGGAUUGUAAAAUUCUUUCACCGGGGACGAUAAUGACGGUACCCGGAGAAGAAGCCCCGGCUAACUUCGUGCCAGCCGCCGCCGUAACAC
rnacentral:rRNA from 1 species